UCUUUAUAUAAUAAACUAUAUUACAAGGAUUAGAAAAGCAAUUUAGAAGGACCUUUAUGGAAUAAGUACUUUAUUAGGGACUAAAUUACAAAAGUUCCCUUUUUAAGUAACCGGAUCCAACCGGGUUUCGGAUUUCGGGUUGCAACCCAAAAACCUGAACCCGUUUCCCUUUCUUCUCCCCCUUCUUUCUCUAUUUCCCGAGUACAACCCAAACCUCCAUGGCUGCCGAUCAAUCUCUUCUUCCUAGUCACCGCCGGCAGUCACGGAUGGCCCACAACCACCGGUGGCCUUCUCUUUGGAUUCUCCCCCGACCAUCUAUUGCCGAUGAUUGGUCGGUCUUGACGGAAGAUCGAUGGAGGAGGGGACAAGCCGGUGCGCUUGUCCCCGCCUAAUCUUUGUCGAUGGCCACUGUAAAGUCAAAUUGGUGGCCCGCCGCUCCAUCCCAAAGCCAUCUGCCGAUUUCUCGAUGAGUAUGCUGGCGGUAAAGGCGGUCAAUUUAAGAUCAGCGGAGGGGGUUUGAAAAUACCAUGGCUUCCUCAAAAAUAUACGAUCGGCGAUCGCCGAAAAAAGUCCGGAUCGGCGGACCGCCGCCGUCUCCCCAAGACCGAUCACCCCUUUAUGCUAGUGAUGGAGAGUUUUGAUGGAGAGAAUCAUCGGUGAUCAAGAUUCGGCAUUUCUUCUACCCUUUCCUCUUUUUUUUUAGUUUUUUGUUGGCUGGACAAAGGCGAGUUCUCCGACGUCGCGACUUCAUGGGACUCGCCAUUGGCCUGUCUCUGCAGUAGCCGGAGGUCGACCGUAGUCCGGCCACCGUGAUGGGAUGAGAAGGGCACACGGUUGGCCCUAUUCUUCCCUCUUUAAUACUUAUUUAUUUAUUUCAACAAUAAUUUAAGGCCUAAAAAAAUAAAUAACAGGAUCUUUAAAAUAAAUAAAUAAUUAUAAUUAUUUUACAUAAUUCGGAAUGGAUCGAGUUCACGAUGACUUUAACCACAAACGAUCAAUUAGGAUGGCUAAUCAGAUCUACCACCAUAUAAAUUUUAUAUAGGUACGCAGACUUUAAUCUUUAAG
rnacentral:lncRNA from 1 species